rnacentral:RNase_P_RNA from 1 species
CGAGUAAGACAGGUGACCGCAUGCGGCCUUGACCGUAUGAGGAAAGUCCGAGCUCCAUAGGGCAAGGGUGCCGGAUAACGUCCGGCGGAGGCGACUCCAGGGAAAGUGCAACAGAGAUAUACCGCCAGGCUUCGGCCUGGUAAGGAUGGAAAGGCGAGGUAAGAGCUCACCGGCGGCCCUGGCAACUUGGCCGUCCUGUAAACCCCACCCGGUGCAAGAUUGGAAUGAGAGCAUUCAAUGGCGGCCCGUCACGCUCUUGAUAAUCGCUUGAGCCCUUCGGCAACGAUGGGCCUAGAUAGAUGGUCACCCACGGCGCGUUCGCGCCCGGACAGAACUCGGCUUACGGCUUGCUCGCCAA